rnacentral:rRNA from 1 species
GUAUGCCUACGGGAGGCAGCAGUGGGGAAUAUUGCACAAUGGGGGGAACCCUGAUGCAGCGACGCCGCGUGGGUGAAGAAGUAUUUCGGUAUGUAAAGCCCUAUCAGCAGGGAAGAAAAAUGACGGUACCUGACUAAGAAGCACCGGCUAAAUACGUGCCAGCAGCCGCGGUAAUACGUAUGGUGCAAGCGUUAUCCGGAUUUACUGGGUGUAAAGGGAGCGCAGGCGGCUUUGCAAGUCAGAAGUGAAAUCCAUGGGCUUAACCCAUGAACUGCUUUUGAAACUGCAGAGCUUGAGUGGAGUAG